CCCUUAGAUGUUCUGGGCCGCACGCGCGCUACACUGAUACGUUCAACAAGUUUAGAACCUUGACUGAGAGGUCUGGGUAAUCUUUUGAAUGCGUAUCGUGUUAGGGAUAGAUUAUUGCAAUUAUUAAUCUUGAACGAGGAAUUCCUAGUAAACGCAAGUCAUCAGCUUGCAUUGGUUACGUCCCUGCCCUUUGUACACACCGCCCGUCGCUCCUACCGAUUGAAUGAUCCGAUGAAUAUCAUGGAUUGAGGAUGCAAGCAGGUUCGCCUGUCUUCAUCUUCGAGAAGUGAAGUAAAUCUUAUCAUUUAGAGGAAGGAGAAGUCGUAACA
rnacentral:rRNA from 1 species